rnacentral:lncRNA from 1 species
GUGUAGGCCAAUUGGCAGGGCGGGGCUGCCUUCGAUCUGGCCACUUCUCUUAAUCAUCGCUCUUCUGAUCCAGGGUGGCAUUGUGUGUCCCAGUGUGCAAGAAUAGCCCCAGAAGAGGAAAGGCUGAGCCCAGAGCGCUUCAGCAGGGAAGAUUCCCUUCCCCCCGCUUCAGGCUGCUGAGCACUGAGCGGCGCUCAGAAUGGAAGCCAUCGCCAAAUAUGACUUCAAAGCUACUGCUGACGAUGAGCUGAGCUUCAAGAGGGGGGACAUCCUUAAGGUGGUUUUUUGGCAAAAUCCCCAGAGCAAAG